rnacentral:rRNA from 1 species
GACGGAGGGUGCUAGCGUUGUUCGGAAUGACUGGGCGUAAAGCGUACGUAGGCGGUUACUCAAGUCAGAGGUGAAAGCCCGGGGCUCAACCCCGGAACUGCCUUUGAAACUAGGUAGCUAGAAUCUUGGAGAGGUCAGUGGAAUUCCGAGUGUAGAGGUGAAAUUCGUAGAUAUUCGGAAGAACACCAGUGGCGAAGGCGACUGACUGGACAAGUAUUGACGCUGAGGUACGAAAGCGUGGGGAGCAAACAGG